rnacentral:rRNA from 1 species
AUGGCGCUGCUCUUCAACGGAGAUGGCACGUACUCCAUGGUCUACCCCGAGGGCACCACGCCGAUCUGGCUCCUGCCGGCUGACCGCCCCAAAGCUGAUCCAACACUUUCCCCACCCAAGUCCGUCCUCCUCGACACCAUGGGCUACGUCGACGGCGAAUGCAACGACACGACGGCCGCCUACGUCGGCGAGGACGGCAAGCGCGUCCAGGUGACCUUCUGGAUGCACCACCCGCCGCUCGUCUCCUAUUUCACGGUCCACUCCCCCGGCGUGAAACCCGACGCGUUCCCCGAGAUGGCCAAUGUCCUCGCGACGGACGGCGACCUCGCGCUCCUCCGCCUCCCCUCCGGCCCAGUAAAUCCACUCAGCGAUCCGCCCCCGGACAGAUACUUCAUCUACCGGAUCGGCGCCGGCGCCGGAGAGAAGCCGCCUUGGCUUCGACAGCUCCCCAAUCCCCACAAGCUCAUAUUUAUGGACGAUACCGUUGGUUUCCUGAACUACGGCACCCACGACCACGAUAGGUUCUUCGCCGCGGCGAUCUACCAAGAGCACCCGCUCAGGCCUGGCGGCUCCGUCAAGUUCUAUAUCAGCAUGUUCGACUCCGAGACCUGGGCAUGGGCCAGAAACGAGGUCUUCGUCGAUUCGCCGGAGGCUUACCGUUACAGGUUCACGAACAAGGUGAUCACGAUCGGAGGAGAGCGCGGCUCGAUCGCCUGGGUCGACCUCUCCAAUGGCAUUCUCGUCCACGACAUGCUCCUGCGCAACAACAACAUUCUUCGUUACAUCCCGUUGCCGCCGUCGGAGUUGCCUGACCUCAGAACCAACUCUGUGCGGGACAUGGCUGCCGUCGACGGCUGCCUCAAAUACGUCAGCAUGAGCUACCCUCCUAUGACCGAAAGCAGCACCAGCUACUACUUUGGAGAUUGGCAGGCCAAGGCAUGGAAGAUGGCGAUGCAACCUUCAGGGACCUGCCAAUGGCAGGAGGACUACCAUCUCAGAGCUUCGGAGAUCACCAUAGACGACCCAAGCCAUCUUGAGCUCCUGCCUGAUCCUCCCAACAAUGUCGACAAGAAGCGGGUCUUGACGAAGCUCCACGCCGGGAGUCCUGCUGUGAGCUUACAUGAUGAUGGCAUUGUCUACAUCUUGACCAAGGUUGAGUACUCAGAUCGCAAGGCGUGGGUGCUUGCCGUCAACACGAGCACCAAGGCUCUACAAGCGGUGGCCGAGUUUGACGCUGAAAGAUGCAUGGGUUUCAGUUUCACCUACACUCAAAGUGGGAUCUCCAAACAUAUGGGUGUUGAGUUAAAAGAAGAUCAGUGCCAGGAUCAUGAGGCUUCGUGGACUACUGUCUCGUACAAGAAAGAAAGAAAGAAAAAGAGGUGGUAA